UUGAUUUUUGUUUGUUUUAUCAGACGGUUACAGGUGAUAUCAGGGUGUUUUGUUGUCCCCAUUGGCAGGCGAGCCUGCCGAGGAAACGGGCGGUACUGUAAAGGCAAGGGUGUUAUCUCGACGGGGCCGGAGCCCCACGAUAAUGAUCCUUCCGCAGGUUCACCUACGGAAA
rnacentral:misc_RNA from 1 species